GUGCUCACUUUGGCAGCACAUAUACUAAAAUUGGAAUGAUACAGAGAUUAGCAUGGCCCCUGCGCAAGGAUGACGUGCAAAUUCAUGAAGCGUUCCAUAUUUUU
ensembl:snRNA U6 U6 spliceosomal RNA